rnacentral:tRNA from 1 species
GCGCUACGGACUUAAAUCCGUCGACUUUAGAAAUCGUGAGGGUUCAAGUCCCUCUAUCCCCA